CCAAGAUUGGGCCACUGCACUCCAGUCUGGGUGAUAGAGUGAGACCCUAUCUCAAAGAAAAAAAAGUAGGCAAGGAACUUUAUUGGUGAUAUUCUUCACAAACCCUCAGCAGUUUCCUGCACCUGCAACUCCUCAGGUACUAUAGUCAUGUUUUCUUGUAUUCCAGUGUCUGGAAUUUAUUCCUUCUGGUGGAUUCUUGGUCUUGCUGACUUCAAGAAUGAAGCCGCGGACACUCGCGAAAUCCUUGCUCUGAUCUGCCUGACUUCAGAGUGUAAACUCUUAAAUACACAGUCUGCUGCUUCUCCAGAUCAAGGUACAACAGCAGGUUCUUUUCUGAUUCCGCAAAGUCCUGCAUGGGGUGGAGGCAGAGACAGAAGAGAAUGUAAACACUGGGUUCCACCCCCUGGAAAUUAAGGGAAGACCCCUUACCCAGAUAGGGACUGAUUGGAGAGGUGGAAGGGAACAAGGUGAAAGAUGCUGUCAUCUCCCUGCUCUGCUAUGUCUUCAUUCCUCACAGUACCUGAACACAAAGCUGUGGUGUUAUCAGACUUUAACUGAAGGUUUGGGGUCCCGAAGAGGAUUAUAACAUAGCACAAAACUCAAAAUUGAACAUUGAUGAUGUCAUUAUGAAUAUCCAAAAGUUCCCUGACCAAACUCAUUUUAAGGACUGCGGUAAUUUAAAAGUAUGUCUACAAAUUAGUUGAUACUUCUUUAUUCAAAAGGUGGAGCCGAAUUCCCCUCCCCUUGAAUGUGGACUAGGAGUUAGUGACUCACUUUCAACAAAUAAUGUGUGGCAGAAGUGAAGAUAUUUGACUUCUGAGGCUAGGUCAUACAAAGGAUAAAGUUUCUACCUGGCUCGUUCUCUUUAGGAUCACCCUGGGGGAAGCCAGCUACCAUGUAAUGAAGGUACUCAAGCAGCCCUGGGAAAGAACCAUGUGAAAAGAAACUGGGGCCUCCCACCAAUAGCCAGCAUCAACUUGCCAGCCAUGCAUGCCAUCUUGGAAAGAUAUCUCCUAGUUCCAGCUAAGACUUUAGCCGCCUAUAACCCCAGCUGACAUCUUGUUUGCAACCUCAUGAGAAGAUCCUUAGUUGAGGGGCAACCAAACUCCUGACCCACAGAAAUUGUGAGAGAUAAUAAUGCUUAUUGCUAUUUUAAGCUGCAAAGUUUUGGAGUAAUUUGCUAUGUAGCAACAGAUAAGUAAUACAGAGAGUCUCUCAUGGGCCGUUUUCUUCCGUC
rnacentral:lncRNA from 1 species